rnacentral:rRNA from 1 species
AUAUAAGGUCGGACCUGCCCAGUGAGUUUAUUUAACGGCCGCGGUACCCUGACCGUGCAAAGGUAGCAUAAUCAUUUGCCUUAUAAUUGGAGGCUAGAAUGAAUGGUUUGACGAGAAUAUUACUGUCUCUUUAUAAUUUAUUAGAAUUUUAUAUUGAAAUGAAAAAGUUUCAGUUACAUUAAAAGACAAGAAGACCCUAUCGAGCUUAAAAUAAAUUAAUAAAAUAUAGUUAAUAAAAUUAAAAAAUCAAUUGCUAAAUAUUUUGGUUGGGGCAACCAAGGAGUAUCUAAAGCCUCCUUUUACAAAAUUAUAUAAUACUAACAAGUUUCGAUCCAGUAUUUUCUGAUUAAAGAAAUUAGUUACCGUAGGGAUAACAGCAUUAUCUUUUUUAAGAGCUCUUAUCGAAAAAAAGGUUUGUGACCUCGAUGUUGGACCAGAAUGUCCCAAAGAUGCAGAAGUCUUUAAAGGUUGGUCUGUUCGACCAUUAAAAUUCUA